rnacentral:rRNA from 1 species
CAUAGCGUGCGGCAGCCUACCAUGCAGUCGAGCGGAACAAAAGUAGCUUGCUACUCUGGCGUCGAGCGGCGGACGGGUGAGUAAUGCUUGGGAACAUGCCUUGAGGUGGGGGACAACAGUUGGAAACGACUGCUAAUACCGCAUAAUGUCUACGGACCAAGGGGGGCUUCGGCUCUCGCCUUUAGAUUGGCCCAAGUGGGAUUAGCUAGUUGGUGAGGUAAUGGCUCACCAAGGCGACGAUCCCUAGCUGGUUUGAGAGGAUGAUCAGCCACACUGGGACUGAGACACGGCCCACACUCCUACGGGAGGCAGCAGUGGGGAAUAUUGCACAAUGGGCGCAAGCCUGAUGCAGCCAUGCCGCGUGUGUGAAGAAGGCCUUCGGGUUGUAAAGCACUUUCAGUCAGGAGGAAAGGUUAGUAGUUAAUACCUGCUAGCUGUGACGUUACUGACAGAAGAAGCACCGGCUAACUCCGUGCCAGCAGCCGCGGUAAUACGGAGGGUGCGAGCGUUAAUCGGAAUUACUGGGCGUAAAGCGUACGCAGGCGGUUUGUUAAGCGAGAUGUGAAAGCCCCGGGCUCAACCUGGGAACUGCAUUUCGAACUGGCAAACUAGAGUGUGAUAGAGGGUGGUAGAAUUUCAUGUGUAGCGGUGAAAUGCGUAGAGAUCUGAAGGAAUACCGAUGGCGAAGGCAGCCACCUGGGUCAACACUGACGCUCAUGUACGAAAGCGUGGGGAGCAAACAAGAUUAGAUACUCUUGGUACUCA